GGCGGAGCAGACUGGAGUGAGAGGAGGAGAAGCAGCCAAAAGAACAAGGAGGUGGAUGUUAAGAUUCCUUUCUGCACAUUUACAGGGUCUCUGUGCAUAUCCCUGGCUGUCCUGGAACUCACCAUGUAAACGAGGCUGUCCUGAAAUUCACAAAGAUCUUCCUGUUUCAGCACUUGGAGGCUGGAAUGAAAGGACUGAGCCUAGGGAAUGGUGCCAUAAUCAAACUGAUCCUCCACAGACGUUCCCACAUGUCAGCCUGGUCCCCCUGGUCACCAUGAUGCACUCAAGUAAAUCACUAAAGCAUCCCAACAGCAGCCGGACUGUAGAAGAGAGUCGAAUUCUCUGACCACGGAGUCAGCUGGAUCUCAUGGAGGCAUCUCCUCAAGAGAGGCUCCUUUCUCUGUGAUAACUCCAGCUUCUGUAAGUUGAGACACAAAACCAACCAGUACACAAGCCAAUCUUUAAAGAAGACUCUGGAACUGGCCUGGCAGCUUGGGAGAAGCAGAAACCAGUCCAGCUGCCUGGAGGAGGUUUUAGACCAACUGAUGUACUUGGCAGGGACACUCUUCAAACUGUUGAGUGGCCUGCAGGCUGUGGAGUGUGCACCACAUUCCCAGCUUUUGUAAGCUGUCAUACUGGGGUGGACGUUGGUGAGAAGCUAUCUUGGAGUCAUUUCUGCUGGAGUCAGUAACCCCCACCCAUGCUCCUGGAAGUAACCCCAAUAAAACACAUGGUUCACCAGGCUGGACUUUGGUGAGAUCUGCUCUUUGAUCUGUCAUGGGCUCCUUAUCUUGGAUGAGUAGAUAAAUGUGUGUGUUGCAUUUUCCCAGGAAAUUUUGACACAUGACAC